GUAGGUGGCGAGCGUUGUCCGGAUUUAUUGGGUUUAAAGGGUGCGUAGGCGGCCCUGUAAGUCAGUGCUGAAAUAUCUCGGCUUAACCGAGAGGGUGGCAUUGAUACUGCAGGGCUUGAGUACAGAUGAGGUAGGCGGAAUUGACGGUGUAGCGGUGAAAUGCAUAGAUAUCGUCAAGAACACCGAUAGCGAAGGCAGCUUACUGGGCUGUAACUGACGCUGAUGCACGAAAGUGUGGGGAUCAAACAGGAUUAGAUACCCUGGUAGUCCACACUGUAAACGUUGAUUACUCGCUGUUUGCGAUACACGGCAAGCGGCUUAGCGAAAGCGAUAAGUAAUCCACCUGGGGAGUACGCCGGCAACGGUG
rnacentral:rRNA from 1 species